GGGGUUAUAGCUCAGUGAUAAAGCGCAUGCUUAGCAUGCACGAGGUCCUGGGUUCAAUCCCCAGUACCUCCA
rnacentral:tRNA from 1 species